CGCCACGGUGCAGACCCCGCAGCCCCCCCACCCGCCGCGGAGCCUCCUGUGGGCGGCGGGCCCCCAUCUCCACCUCGGCCGUCCGGUGGACUCCUUCCUCACCUGGAGCGCUCGAGGACAGCAAGAAAAAUGAGGGACUUUCAGGGGCAGCUGUGUUUUCUGACUCAGUCAUAAUGCCCCUAAAAAUCCUUAUUGUUCUUGCAGUGUGCAUCAGGCAGCGGCCCCAGCCCACCCCUCGCCUACCUGGCUUCAGCUGGCUUGUCCUCCCCCAUCAUCCUGAAAUGAGCGUGAAGGGGGAGUUGUGGAUUAUUAACACCUUUUGUUGGGCAGUGCAUUGGUUUGCAAGUACUUGUAUAAUUUCUUUUUUUGGUGCAGGACUGGGGAGACAUUGCUACGUGGGUUGGAGCCCGGGAGCAUGCAGGGGCUCCCUGGUGUGUGUGCGGUGAGGGGUCCGUAGAGCCCAGCUGCACACGUACAGCCCGGGGAAGGGCAGCUUCAGGGCCAGCUGUGUCCCGGGUGACAGUGCUGGGCUGGCCGGGUAUGCCCGGCCUGUCCUGAGAAGCUGGCACUGCGUAGGGGUGCCGUGUUUUAGGCCCGGUGAACUGGCCAUUUUGCAGAUCCACCUGCAGCGUACCGAGGUCUUCCCCCCAGCUGUGACCCUAGAGCCGGGUGGUCUCUACCCCCGUCUCACCUCCUGGGUCUCCACCGUGCUCAGCAAGGGCCCCACCCACAGAUAUUUUUUGUCUGAGCCAGGGUUUUUUUGGGUGGAGUUGGGGGUCCUGGGGGAUUGUCAAGCAGAAAUACCAAUUGGUGACAUGCCCUCCUUUACACAAGAAUACCGUUCUUCAGGGAUGUCACCAGGUCCCAUAGCCACAGAAUCAUCGUCUCUGGCUGAGGCUGGGCGGGUGGCUGGCUCGUGGAUGGACAGACAGCAAGCAGGACUGUGCCUGCUCCCGUGGUCUGCUCCGGGUCUCAUCAGCCUCCCAGGUGAGCAGAGGACGUUCAUCCCUAAGGUAUUUCUAAGGUUCCCCUGCAGGAAGCGACUCGCAAGCUCUUGUCAUCCAAGAAGAUGGCCGUUUGUGGGACCUGGACCGCCGCGAUCCUCCUUCCUGGCCAGCCCAGCCCCCCGCUCCUCAGGCUCCUGGGGUCCCAGCUGUGCUUCCAGCCUAGCUCCAGAGACAGUUUUCAAGGAGCCUCAGUAUUCUUCUGCCCAGGGGAAGGGACGGCGCUAAGAUGGAGGACCGAGGCUGAGGAGAUCAGGAGGCUUCCCGGAGGACACGCGGCUGGGAUGCAGCAGAGCUGGAGUGCAGACCUGCAGCUUCUGACUCCCAAGGCUAAGUGCUCACUCUGAGGACACUUCGCCAGCAAACUCGGGGAGGUGUGUGCGUGGAGAACAUGCUCGUUUUAUGCUAGUUGCACUACUCAGGAAGCAAGUGUAAGUCUCCAGGCUUUGCAUAGUGUCUUCUGUCUGUGAUGUCUACAAAGAUGACCUUUGCUUCAGUCUCCUCUCUUCUGGCCCCCCUGCCCUGGCCCUACCCUGUUAGGAUGGUGGUUCUGGACUGAGAAGCUGUCCUCCUUGCCCUGUGUGCCUCUCUGGUCUGGCCACCGGAGGCCCAGAGCCCAGGGAGGCAUCCUUUCCCUCCUUGGAGUUCAUCUUACAAGUCUGGAUACCAUCAGCUCUAAGACGUUCCCUCUGGGCCAGAGCUCCUCCCUCCCCCACCAGCCUCCUUGGGAUGCAGAUGGAUGGCCCAGUACAGGCAGGAAAAGCUUUCUGUUUGCCUUGGCUGGUGGGGAAAAGAUUAGUGCUCGCUUUUGCUGUUUUGACUCUUGUAUGUAACUAACACACAGAGUCUGCAACGUUGCAGAAAAGCAGCCUUGGGUCUUGAAUGAGUUUGGGGCCCGUUCCUGAUGGCUUGGGCGCUGUGGAAGUGUCUGGAGGGGAUCACUUCUCCCUCUCUUCUGGGGUUCACAUGGGGCCAACCCCAUCCCUGGAUUUAGAGGCAGGCAUGUGUCCCAAGCUGGACACUGAGACUCCCCAUUGAGAUUUUUGCAGCAGCUGUGGGAAGAGAGGCAUUUACUUUUCGUGGGACUUGCCAGGUUGAUGGAAGUUCUGGUGGAUACUCCUGUUCUCUACUUGAGGAUGAAGCCAACAAAGAGGAAAGAGCCAAGAGGUGGAGAAAGUCUGCUGUCCAGAUGUCAGUAAGCCCCUGGAUGCAGCCAUACCUGAAGCUAACAACACCUCUGGACUAAUCUGAUUAUAUGAGCCAAUGAGUGCCUUUCUUUUUUUCUAAAACUAUCCUGAGUUGGGUUUCUGUCAUAGAACGGAUCCUAAUAAAGCUAUGUUUUUCUUUAGUCUCAUUUAAAAAAAAAAAUCUACUUUGAGGUAUACUUUACAUGAAAUAAAAUCCACCUAUUUUAAGUGUCCAGUUCAUAAGUUUUCAAAUGUGUACAUCCUUGUAACUACACCACAGUCGAGCUGUAGAACAUUUCAAGUUCCCUCAUUCCCCUUUAUGGUCCAUUCUCCUGACCCCAAGCAACCACUGCCCUGGCUUUGUUCUAGAGAUUCAUUCAGUGUUCUCUCUGCUCAGGCGAGAUCCCUGGAGGCCAAGGAAAGUGUUUCCGCAAUGCUCAUGUUGUGGAUCAAUGUGGAUCAUUUCCCUUGGGACUCAGAGUCAC